rnacentral:miRNA from 1 species
AUCAACGGAAAGCUUUUGGCUAGGGUUUGGUUAGGGUUUGGACUUCCCGCUUUCUUGUUCUUUUGAUGGGGUUUAGAACCCUUUUUCUUCUGUUUCUCUUGGAGAUAAUGAGGUUCUUUUUUGAUGGAAGACUGAUAAGCAGCUGAGGGUUUUCAGUUUACGCAGAUGGAGGCAGUGAGUUUGAGGCAGCAAAUGCAUAACUUGUAGAAUUAUGAAUGGGAAAAGUGAUGGUACCGAUGACUUUCUUGCAAGUUAUGCAGUUGCUGCCUCAAGCUUGCUGCCUCCCUCUGCCAAAACUAGUGUGGACAAAAUAACCCAUGUCAAUGCAUUAUGGUUUCAGGUGAAAAGCUGAGGCUGGAGAAAGAGCAAGAGUUCUUGUGAUCUAUGUGAUAUAUAUGUAUAUAUAUAGUUCUUGUCUGCUGUCUUGUUGUAAUUUAUAGUGAAAGUUCUGUUGUAAUCUAUUGUAAAGAAAAUCAAGUGUAGAUUGACUUUGAAUAUUCUUGCAAG